GAAUUUUGGACAAUGGGCGAACGCCUGAUCCAGCAAUGCCGCGUGCAGGAUGAAGGCCUUCGGGUUGUAAACUGCUUUUGUACGGAACGAAAAGCUUUGGGUUAACACCCUGGAGUCAUUACGGUACCGUAAGAAUAAGCACCGGCUAACUACCGGCCAGACGCCGAGGGAAUACGUAGGGUGCAAGCGUUAAUCGGAAUGACUGGGCGUCAGGCGUGCGCAGGCGGUUGUGUAAGACAGAGGUGGAAUCCCCGGGCUCAACCUGGGAACUGCCUGUGUGACUGCAAGGCUAGAGUACGGCAGAGGGGGGUGGAAUUCCGCGUGAAGCAGUGAAAUGCGUAGAUAUGCGGAGGAACACCGAUGGCGAAGGCAACCCCCUGGGCCUGUACUGACGCUCAUGCACGAAAGCGUGGGGAGCAAACAGG
rnacentral:rRNA from 1 species